GAUGAACGCUAGCGGCAGGCCUAACACAUGCAAGUCGAGGGGUAGAAGGAGCUUGCUCCUUUGAGACCGGCGCACGGGUGCGUAACGCGUAUGCAAUCUACCUUUUACAGAGGGAUAGCCCAGAGAAAUUUGGAUUAAUACCUCAUAGUAUAUAUCAUUCGCAUGUUUGGUAUAUUAAAGUUCCAACGGUAAAAGAUGAGCAUGCGUCCCAUUAGUUAGUUGGUAAGGUAACGGCUUACCAAGACGAUGAUGGGUAGGGGUCCUGAGAGGGAGAUCCCCCACACUGGUACUGAGACACGGACCAGACUCCUACGGGAGGCAGCAGUGAGGAAUAUUGGUCAAUGGACGCAAGUCUGAACCAGCCAUGCCGCGUGCAGGAGGACGGUCCUAUGGAUUGUAAACUGCUUUUGUACGGGAAGAAACACUCCUACGUGUAGGAGCCUGACGGUACCGUAAGAAUAAGGAUCGGCUAACUCCGUGCCAGCCGCCGCGGUAACAC
rnacentral:rRNA from 1 species